rnacentral:rRNA from 1 species
AAAAAGGGCAUCUUCUUGUUUUUAAGACCUAGCAAUAGGUAUGCUUAGGGAGGAGCUUGCGUCACAUUAGUUAGUUGGUGGGGUAAAGGCCUACCAAGACUAUGAUGUGUAGCCGGGCUGAGAGGUUGAACGGCCACAUUGGGACUGAGACACGGCCCAAACUCCUACGGGAGGCAGCAGUAGGGAAUUUUCGGCAAUGGAGGAAACUCUGACCGAGCAACGCCGCGUGAACGAUGAAGUAUUUCGGUACGUAAAGUUCUUUUAUUAGGGAAGAAUAAAUGAUGGAAAAAUCAUUCUGACGGUACCUAAUGAAUAAGCCCCGGCUAACUAUGUGCCAGCAGCCGCGGUAAUACAUAGGGGGCAAGCGUUAUCCGGAAUUAUUGGGCGUAAAGGGUGCGUAGGCGGUUAAAUAAGUUUAUGGUCUAAGUGCAAUGCUCAACAUUGUGAUGCUAUAAAAACUGUUUAGCUAGAGUAAGAUAGAGGCAAGUGGAAUUCCAUGUGUAGUGGUAAAAUGCGUAAAUAUAUGGAGGAACACAGUAGCGAAGGCGGCUUGCUGGGUCUUUACUGACGCUGAGGCACGAAAGCGUGGGGAGCAAACAGGAUUAGAUAACCUGGUAGUCCACGCCGUAAACGAUGAGUACUAAACGUUGGGUAAAACCAGUGUUGAAGUUAACACAUUAAGUACUCCGCCUGAGUAGUACGUACGCAAGUAUGAAACUUAAGGAAUUGACGGGACUCCGCACAAGCGGUGCAUCAUGUUGUUUAAUUCGAAGGUACCGAAAAACCUCACCAGGUCUUGACAUGCUUCUGCAAAGCUGUAGAAACACAGUGGAGGUUAUCAGUUGCACAGGUGGUGCAUGGUUGUCGUCAGCUCGUGUCGUGAGAUGUUGGGUUAAGUCCCGCAACGAGCGCAACCCUUAUUGUUAGUUACCAGCACGUAAUGGUGGGGACUUUAGCAAGACUGCCAGUGAUAAAUUGGAGGAAGGUGGGGACGACGUCAAAUCAUCAUGCCCCUUAUGACCUGGGCUACAAACGUGAUACAAUGGCUGUUACAAAGGGUAGCUGAAGCGCAAGUUUUUGGCGAAUCUCAAAAAAACAGUCUCAGUUCGGAUUGAAGUCUGCAACUCGACUUCAUGAAGUGGAAUCGCUAGUAAUCGCGAAUCAGCAUUCGCCGAAUUUAAUU